CCUACGGGAGGCAGCAGUGAGGAAUAUUGGUCAAUGGACGAGAGUCUGAACCAGCCAAGUAGCGUGAAGGAUGACUGCCCUAUGGGUUGUAAACUUCUUUUAUAAAGGAAUAAAACGAGGCACGUGUGCCUUUUUGCAUGUACUUUAUGAAUAAGGAUCGGCUAACUCCGUGCCAGCAGCCGCGGUAAUACGGAGGAUCCGAGCGUUAUCCGGAUUUAUUGGGUGUAAAGGGAGCGUAGAUGGGUUGUUAAGUCAGUUGUGAAAGUUUGCGGCUCAACCGUAAAAUUGCAAUUGAUACUGGCAGUCUAGAGUACAGUUGAGGUAGGCGGAAUUCGUGGUGUAGCGGUGAAAUGCUUAGAUAUCACGAAGAACCCCGAUUGCGAAGGCAGCUUACUAAACUGUGACUGACAUUGAUGCUCGAAAGUGUGGGUAUCAAACAGGAUUAGAUACCCGGGUAGUC
rnacentral:rRNA from 1 species